GCUGACACGCUGUCCUCUGGCGACCUGUCGCUGGAGAGGUUGGGUCUCUUGGAUGCGUCGCGGGUCUUCGGCCUCCCGGUGACCCGGCUAGCCGGCCCUGCUCGUGCUUGAGCCGCCUGCUGGGGCCCGUGUGCCCGGUCUCUCAUGCAUCCGAGCGUCCCAGCUCCCGGUGCCGCCUUGGGUCCGGGUCUCUGACCCACCUGGGGGCGGCGGGGAAGGUGGCGCGGGCUUACCCUGCCACCGUGCGCUCCCCGCUGCGGGCACCUGGGGCGGCCGAGACGACCCCACUCCCGCUGGCUCCGUGCCGUGCGUGUCAGGCAUUCCUCGUCUCUGCCGGGUUGUCUGCCGCCCCUGUCCUGGAGCUGGGGAUGGCCAGGCUGAUCUGCUCGCUGGCCUCUGGGGAGGCUGUGGCUGGCUGGCCGACCCUGCUCCGGGGAUGCUUUCCCUGAUCGAUGUGGUGAUGUCACGCUCUCCCGGGCCGGGACCGGGCCGCGACGGGCGAGGGGCGGGCAUUCGUGGUGAAUGAGACCCGUUCUUCUCGUCCCGCCCGCGGGGUUUCCCCCGUCUCCCAUCCCCGCCUGCGGGCGGUGCGUUGGGAGGCACUGGGGUGUGGAACCCGGCCCGACCUCGCUGUCCCGACCCCGCCGUCUGCCUCGUGGCGUCCGGCGUGGGUCAGCGGGGGUCCUCUGACGCAGCAGGCACUCCUCGCUUUCGCCUCUUGUGGUCGUCGCCUCGUGGGCCGCCCCCCUCCGCGGCGGUGGGGGUGCUGUCCCGCUGGCCCGCCGUGCUGCCCUCUCGGGUAUUGCACGAGCGCUGGCUCCGCCUGGGCCUUUGCGGUGCUCCUGGAGCGCCCCGGGCUGUCUCUCAGGUGCCCGAGGCCGAGCGGUGGUGUGUCGCUCCCGCCCCCAGCGCCCCCUCCUCCGGUCGCUGCCAUGGUGUCCGCGCGUGGGUCCUGAGGGAGCUCGUUGGCUGUGCGGGUCGAGGCGGUUGAGUGAGACGCGCCCCUCCCACGCGGGGAAGGGCGCCGCCUGGUCUGGCGAGCGCACGUCCCGUGCUCCCCUCUGGCGGGUGAGCGCGGGCCGUGUGAGCGGUUGCGGUGGGCUCGGGCCGGCCACGCGUGCGCCGGCCGGCCGCCGAGGGGCUGCCGUUCUGCCUCCGAUCGGUCGUGUGUGGGUUAACUGGAGGCGCCUUGCCUCACAGAAAGGAGGUGGGUGGACGGCGGGGGGCCUUGGGGGCUGUGCGCACGCGCGCCGGCCGGGCCCCUGCCCUGACCGCAAACGCUCAAGGUUGCCGCAGGUUUCUUCUCGCGCCGCAGGCCCCCUCCCUUCCCCAGGCGUCCCUGAGCGCCUCUGCGGGCCCGACGAGGGGCGACUGGCGGGUGGGGAGCGUGACCCACCCUCGGUGAGAAAGGCUUCUCUAGCGAUCCGAGAGGUGUGCCUUGGGGUACCGGAUCCCCCGGCUCGCCGCCUCUCUCUGUGUUGUGGUAGCGCUGCCGUAGCGACUCGCCUGCAGAGAACCCUCCUCCUCCGCUGCCCCCGCCUCGAUGGGAUGAGGUGGGGGGACAGUGAGGGUUCCGCCGGACCCCGCGGUGGGGGCCGAGCGCGCGGCUCGUCGUCUACUGUGGCCCGCGCCUCCCCCUUCCGAGUUGGGGGAGGAUCCCGCUGGGCCGGGCCCGACGUCCUAGCGGAUGGGAAGGCUGCUGCAAGCGGCGGGUGCGCGUGGCACUCCGUCUGGCGCGCGACGCCGCUCUCCGCUGUGAGCCGGCUCUCCGCCCGCUCCCGUGCCGAGCCGCGACCGCUGCCGAUGACCGCGUUCGCGUGGCGCGGGGUGUGGGGCCGCCUGGUCCUUGGGAAGCGAGCCGUCCCCACGGGGCGGCGCGCCGGUCUCCCGGAGCGGGACCGGGUCCGGGACGGACGAGAGACGGGCGACAUGUGGCCCCUGGUGUUGGGCUUGUGGCUGAGGUUGCUUUGGGGCCGCCGGUGGCGGGACCCGGGGCUCGUGAGGGGGUUGCUCGGUGGGCUGCCCAAGGGCCGUUCGGCGUCCCAGGCGGGGCGCUGCGGGACCGCCCUCGUGUCUGUGGCGGUGGGAUCCCGUGGCCGUGUUUUCCUGGUGGCCCGGCCGCGCCUGAGGGUUGCUUGCCCGAGUUAGCCCCCUGCGGGUUCCCCGUGCCCUCGUCUCCGUGGCCCCCUGGCUCCUUGCCUGCCUUGUGCUCCUUUUCCCUGUCCGCCGCCUGCCGAUCCUCUCUUCCCCGAGCGGCUCACCGGCUUUUAUGCUGUUGGCCGCCCCGUCUGGGCCCGAACCCGGCUCCGCCUUCUGGGGGCGCCGCCGCCGCCGGCCACGCUGGUUGGCCCGGUGUCCGCGUACCCCCACGGCGCGCGCCUUCGGGGCCAGGUCGGUGGCGGCCCGGUGGGCGCCCGGAGGGUUUGGGUCGGCCUUGCGGUGCGUGUGGGGGGAAGCGGGCUCCGGGGGCUCUGGCCGCGUGCGACUGGGCGUGGCGGUG
rnacentral:precursor_RNA from 1 species